UACGAAGGGGCUAGCGUUGCUCGGAAUCACUGGGCGUAAAGGGUGCGUAGGCGGGUCUUUAAGUCAGGGGUGAAAUCCUGGAGCUCAACUCCAGAACUGCCUUUGAUACUGAAGAUCUUGAGUUCGGGAGAGGUGAGUGGAACUGCGAGUGUAGAGGUGAAAUUCGUAGAUAUUCGCAAGAACACCAGUGGCGAAGGCGGACUCACUGGCCCGAUACUGACGCUGAGGUGCGAAAGCGUGGGAGCA
rnacentral:rRNA from 1 species